UCCGCAAUAUUCUUCUUUGGAAUGGACUCCUCCCAGAUGAUGACUUGCAAGAGCUAGGACUAGGGAAGCUACUAAAUCGCUACCUUAUUAUAGCUCUUCUUAAUGCUGUACCUGGGCCAGAUGUUGUUAGAAAGUGCAAUCAGGUAGCAACAUGUCUGCCAGAAAAAUGGUUCAAAAAUUCUACCAUGAGGACAUCUAUUCCCCACCUAGAAAACUUCAUUCAGUUUUUAUUGCAGCUUGCACAUAAGUUAUCUAGAAGUGAAUUCAGGGAUGAAGUCAAAGAAAUAAUUCUUAUUCUGGUGAAAAUAAAAGCCUUGAAUCAAGCAGACUCCUUCAUAGAAGAAUAUCACCUAGACCAUCUUAAAUCACUAAUUAAAGGAGUUUUUGAGUAAACUUUAUAGGAAAGUACUAAAAUGAGAUUUUAAUACACUCACUCUCAGUUCCUUUGCUUGAAAAAAAGCUGGUGCCUCUCUUUUGUUCUCUGCAGUGGAGAGUAGGAUUUACAAAAAAGCAGGGACUCCAUUCCUCCAUUCCCUCCACUUCUACCUUCUGGUAUCAUGAAAGUCUGCCCUUCCUGUUCUGUGGUGUUUGAAGGAAUUAAAUCAAUAUGUUUCCUUUUGA